rnacentral:rRNA from 1 species
AGAGCGAACGCUGGCGGCAGGCCUCAAACAUGCAAGUCUAGGGGGUGUAGCAAUACAUCACCGGCGGACGGGUGCGUAACGCGUGGGAAUGUACCUAUUGGUUCGGAACAACUGAGGGAAACUUCAGCUAAUACCGGAUGAGCCCGAAAGGGGAAAGAUUUCUCGCCAAUAGAUCAGCCCGCGUCCGAUUAGCUAGUUGGUGGGGUUAAAGCCUACCAAGGCGACGAUCGGUAGCUGUUCUGAGAGGAAGAUCAGCCACACUGGGACUGAGACACGGCCCAGACUCCUACGGGAGGCAGCAGUUGGGAAUCUUGGACAAUGGGGGAAACCCUGAUCCAGCCAUGCCGCGUGAGUGAUGAAGGCCUUGGGUUGUAAAACUCUUUCGACGGGACGAUAAUGACGGUACCCGUAGAAGAAGCUCCGGCUAACUUCGUGCCAGCAGCCGC